rnacentral:misc_RNA from 1 species
GUGAGGCGAAUUUUCUUGGGGUUUGCAGUUUGAAAAAAUUCUUCGUUGAGGAUAGAUCGCUAUUUUUUAGGAGUAAUUUUAAAUUCGAACGAGUUCAACGAAUAAUUCGUGAACACAACAGAACAGAAACAAAUCGAUCAAAAUGUUCAAGAACCAUUUGGAAAUGAUUGGGCGCAAUGAGAGCCCCAGCAAGAAGGCCAAGUUCUGGCAGUCUUACAUUAGAUCCCUGAAGGGCUCUGAGGAUAUCCGUGCCCACGAGACGCCACGGGCAUCCCGUCCCUACAGCGCAUACCUGGACAAUCCCACCUACAGGAGCAUCUAUGAUGAGCCUGCCACGGCCAACGAGCGCGUCCAGUCCUCUGGCUACAGAUAUCUGCCCGUGAGCCGCGACACCUAUGGCUACUCGCCACGCGCCAUCUACGAUCAUCAUUACAGCCGCACAACCAACUACGAUGCAGAGAAGGCCUGGAAUGAUCAUCUGAAGCGCAUGCAGGAAAUCGAGCGCAGAUACCCAUCUCGCUAUGGUCUCUACUUGAGGGACAAGCCACUCACACCCAACUCUCUGGUGCCUUUGGAGUAUGAGCCAGAGGACAAGCUGCUGGCGGAGCUCAACAAGGCUCGUCGCUCGGCCUCGCCGUUCCGUCCCACGCGCAGCACACGCGCCGGCAGCGAGCCCUAUGUGCCCGAGCCAGUGUACUGGAACCGCGAGGGCAGCGUGCCCCGUCGCGGACCCUCGGUGUUCGACCGUGCCACCAGCUUGGCCCCGUUCACGCGUCCCAGCUUCAGGGCCAGCUCGCUGGAGCCCUUGGAUGAACUCUUUGAAAGACUUCCAAUCUUCCAUCCACGCAACCGCUUCAGGGAUUUGCUGAGCCCCAGCCCCAACUUGCCAAUCUCCUCGAUUGUGCGCGAUCCCUUCUGGUGGGAUGUGGAUGAUCUGGUGCCUUUCCGUGCUACCUCGGUGCCACGUGGCUCGAGCCCUGUGGCCCGCGAUUCGUACUUGUCGCCGGUGAAGAAUCGCUACUUGUGGUCCAAGCACCCCGCUAGACCCUUGACACCUGAGGCAGAGGAUAUAUACUAAAUUCGAACAAACAAAUAGAUUCAAUAUCACAAAAAUCGUUAGCUAUAAUAACAAAAGCGACGCUAUAUCAAUCAUAUAGCAAUUCUGUAAUUUUUUUGUACUUAAUUUUACAUAAAUUACAUGUAACGAACUGUAAGAAAAAGAAACAAAUUGCACACCGCUCAAUUUUGUAAACGAACGAAACAACGAACUAAAACCACUGCAACUUGAACAACAACAACAAAAACGAAUGCAUCACAAGGGGCCCCCAAAAACAACGACUUUAGACUUUCCGAAGAUCUGGAAACCCUAGUCCAAAGUAGCAAAAGGUGUAAAACCCUUUCCGUAGUCUCAAUAUCCUCCAACAACGUUUGAAUUUUUUCAAAACUGCAAGAUCCCCCCUGGGAUAAACAUCCUCCCAGAGCUUAUGCUGGGGGUUCUAUAAACUUUUGCCAAAAAGAAGUGCACACUUCCCGUAGUUAAAACGAUAUAAAAAAGAAGAAAUGAAAACCGAAUCAAACUCAAACUCUUUCUAUAAUUUUUAUUUUCUCAAUUCUUAAGAUCAUGUCUUAUUUUUUAAGUGCAAGUAUAUGAAAAAAAAAAUCGAUUUACAUUUAUUAUAUUAAAAGCAUAAAAUCUUAUGACCACCCCUUUCGAAACAGAACCAUCGAACGGUAAAUGGGUGCCAUAAAUUGUUCCUUUUUUGUAUAUUUUAGAUGCUAAAAUUAUGAAUAUUUAUGUAACUAUUUGUAUUUGUAAAACACAAACGUCUCUGUCGCGGAGAGCGAGAACAUUUUGAAAACUGUAAACGGAUGAAUUUAUUAAUGUUUUUUGAAUGAUUCUAUAGGAUAUCAUGGAUAUGGAUAACUGCCAAACCACAUCCAACAUUCGGCUACGCCAUAUAUCCAUACAUGUUCUGAUACUUUCAAUUUGUAAUAAAACUUCAACAAAAAAAAAA